AGAAACCCCGCGUGGACCGUCAGCCCAAGGCAGCCACUUCCAAGAGGAGACAGGCUCAGCAGCAGGUGAAGGCUGUUGUGGAGACUGCUCCUGUGGAAGUGGUCGUGACGCAGAGGGAUGCUCCUGCUGCCUGCGUCACAGAGUCAUCGCUCCCCAGCCCCGUGGACGUGGUCGUGACGCAGAGGGAUGCUCCUGCUGCCUGCGUCACAGAGUCAUCGCCCC